rnacentral:rRNA from 1 species
AACGAACGCUGGCGGCAUGCCUAACACAUGCAAGUCGAACGAGACCUUCGGGUCUAGUGGCGCACGGGUGCGUAACGCGUGGGAACCUGCCCUUAGGUUCGGAAUAACUCCCCGAAAGGGGUGCUAAUACCGGAUAAUGUCUUCGGACCAAAGAUUUAUCGCCUUUGGAUGGGCCCGCGUUGGAUUAGCUAGUUGGUAGGGUAAAAGCCUACCAAGGCGACGAUCCAUAGCUGGUCUGAGAGGAUGAUCAGCCACACUGGGACUGAGACACGGCCCAGACUCCUACGGGAGGCAGCAGUGGGGAAUAUUGGACAAUGGGCGAAAGCCUGAUCCAGCAAUGUCGCGUGAGUGAUGAAGGCCUUAGGGUUGUAAAGCUCUUUUACCCGGGAUGAUAAUGACAGUACCGGGAGAAUAAGCUCCGGCUAACUCCGUG